rnacentral:rRNA from 1 species
AGAAUUGAUCUGGUCAGGAUGAACGCUAGCGACAGGCUAACACAUGCAAGUCGAGGGGCAUCACGGGAGUAGCAAUACAACUGGUGGCGACCGGCGCACGGGUGAGUAACGCGUAUGCAACCUACCUAUCAGAGGGGAAUAACCCGGCGAAAGUCGGACUAAUACCGCAUAAAACAGGGGCACCGCAUGGUGAUAUUUGUUAAAGAAAUUCGCUGAUAGAUGGGCAUGCGUUCCAUUAGGUAGUUGGUGAGGUAACGGCUCACCAAGCCGACGAUGGAUAGGGGAACUGAGAGGUUGGUCCCCCACACUGGUACUGAGACACGGACCAGACUCCUACGGGAGGCAGCAGUGAGGAAUAUUGGUCAAUGGGCGGGAGCCUGAACCAGCCAAGUCGCGUGAAGGAAGAAGGAUCUAUGGUUCGUAAACUUCUUUUGCAGGGGAAUAAAGUGCAGGACGUGUCCUGUUUUGUAUGUACCCUGAGAAUAAGGAUCGGCUAACUCCGUGCCAGCCGCCGC